UUCUAGGAAAACCGACAACGCAACGGAGCCCCCACCACGCGAAAAAAGUGAGUAAAUGGAAAGAGAAUCGAAUUCUAGAAAAUUCCUACACGACAAAGACAGGGGAGGUUGAAAUUGUCAAAACCAAGUCUUUAUCAUCUUCAACAUUUCAAUAUAUUUAAUUUAAGAUUGUCCAAAUUACCGUCUUUCACUGCAAUUUACAACAUCACACCAAAGGAAGAAUAACAGAGUGCAUGGCUGAAAACUCAUCACUUGGCAAGAAAGUUUCUUUGGAUCUGGCUAGGGAAUUGCUCAUUGCAAUUUCCGAAUCUCUACCGGAAAAUAUUAUCAGUUCUGAAACUGGCGAGGAGCAUACAAAUGGUCAUCACAGUGCUUCAGUGACCAGUGCUGAUAAAAUUGACAAGCUUAGGUCAGAACUUAUCUCAAUUUCAUAUGUACCACCAGACAAAAUUGCACUUCCAGCAAAUGGGCAUCCAUGAACAAUAGUUGAAAUGAUGUGUGUUGUAUCUUGUGAGAAAAAGGGCUUCUUAAGUUCAUUGUGUACUACUUCGGCACUCUUUAGCCAAGUCUUAGAAACUGUGAUCAACAAACAUGUACAUUGGAUGUAAUUUCUGAGUUUUGCGUGGUUUGUGUGAUAUUGAUGAAUUUGGUAUAAAAACAAAAGGUUUGAGUUCGUCUCAUUGAGUUCCCUUUGUAUAUAAAUCGCUCCUGUUAUAAGUU